GACAACAAAAUCCAAAUUUGGAUUUUUAGGUGUGAUUCGGUUAAUUAGUAAUU
rnacentral:tRNA from 4 species